rnacentral:rRNA from 1 species
GAUGAACGCUGGCGGCGUGCAUAAUACAUGCAAGUCGAGCGAAUGGAUUAAGAGCUUGCUCUUAUGAAGUUAGCGGCGGACGGGUGAGUAACACGUGGGUAACCUGCCCAUAAGACUGGGAUAACUCCGGGAAACCGGGGCUAAUACCGGAUAACAUUUUGAACCGCAUGGUUCGAAAUUGAAAGGCGGCUUCGGCUGUCACUUAUGGAUGGACCCGCGUCGCAUUAGCUAGUUGGUGAGGUAACGGCUCACCAAGGCAACGAUGCGUAGCCGACCUGAGAGGGUGAUCGGCCACACUUGGACUGAGACACGGCCCAGACUCCUACGGGAGGCAGCAGUAGGGAAUCUUCCGCAAUGGACGAAAGUCUGACGGAGCAACGCCGCGUGAGUGAUGAAGGCUUUCGGGUCGUAAAACUCUGUUGUUAGGGAAGAACAAGUGCUAGUUGAAUAAGCUGGCACCUUGACGGUACCUAACCAGAAAGCCACGGCUAACUACGUGCCAGCCGCCGCGGUAA